AGUGCUAUAGUAUAACGGUAAUACGGCUGGUUUUGACCCAGUUGUUCUAGGUUCGACUCCUAGUGGCACUA
rnacentral:tRNA from 1 species